AUAAUAAAAAAAAAACUUUAUAAGAUUGAAUUUUAUUUCACAGAUUUCUCGAGGAACAAACACAUUUGGACACCAUUUAUGACAUUAAAAUUUAAAUAUAAUAUUAAAAUUAAUCGGUGCAUGGUGAACACCGGCAUAAACCAUAACAACAAUUAGGCACGCCAAUUCGACAGCGUAUAUUACAUACCAUACUGUCAUCACACCAGAUUUGGUCAGCCAAAACAACAGAUGAGAUAAACAAACCUGCAAAGCAUAUUUAUUCCAUUAGAAAUAAACAUGGAACAUGAUGUUAAUUGGAGUGCUAGUUCUUGAGAAAAAAAAUUUACCAGAGACAGAAACCAAUAACAGGAACAAAAACACAAGCUUCAAAGUUUGCUCCAUGUUUUCAACUAUAUUAAAACAAAAUCAAAG
rnacentral:lncRNA from 1 species